rnacentral:rRNA from 1 species
GCUGGCGGCAGGCCUAACACAUGCAAGUCGAGCGGUAGCACAGAGAGCUUGCUCUCGGGUGACGAGCGGCGGACGGGUGAGUAAUGUCUGGGAAACUGCCUGAUGGAGGGGGAUAACUACUGGAAACGGUAGCUAAUACCGCAUAAUGUCGCAAGACCAAAGUGGGGGACCUUCGGGCCUCAUGCCAUCAGAUGUGCCCAGAUGGGAUUAGCUAGUAGGUGGGGUAACGGCUCACCUAGGCGACGAUCCCUAGCUGGUCUGAGAGGAUGACCAGCCACACUGGAACUGAGACACGGUCCAGACUCCUACGGGAGGCAGCAGUGGGGAAUAUUGCACAAUGGGCGCAAGCCUGAUGCAGCCAUGCCGCGUGUGUGAAGAAGGCCUUCGGGUUGUAAAGCACUUUCAGCGGGGAGGAAGGCGGUGAGGUUAAUAACCUCAUCGAUUGACGUUACCCGCAGAAGAAGCACCGGCUAACUCCGUGCCAGCAGCCGCGGUAAUACGGAGGGUGCAAGCGUUAAUCGGAAUUACUGGGCGUAAAGCGCACGCAGGCGGUCUGUCAAGUCGGAUGUGAAAUCCCCGGGCUCAACCUGGGAACUGCAUUCGAAACUGGCAGGCUAGAGUCUUGUAGAGGGGGGUAGAAUUCCAGGUGUAGCGGUGAAAUGCGUAGAGAUCUGGAGGAAUACCGGUGGCGAAGGCGGCCCCCUGGACAAAGACUGACGCUCAGGUGCGAAAGCGUGGGGAGCAAACAGGAUUAGAUACCCUGGUAGUCCACGCCGUAAACGAUGUCGAUUUGGAGGUUGUGCCCUUGAGGCGUGGCUUCCGGAGCUAACGCGUUAAAUCGACCGCCUGGGGAGUACGGCCGCAAGGUUAAAACUCAAAUGAAUUGACGGGGGCCCGCACAAGCGGUGGAGCAUGUGGUUUAAUUCGAUGCAACGCGAAGAACC